GAUGAACGCUGGCGGCGUGCCUAAUACAUGCAAGUCGAGCGAACGGACGAGAAGCUUGCUUCUCUGAUGUUAGCGGCGGACGGGGGAGUAACACGUGGAUAACCUACCUAUAAGACUGGGAUAACUUCGGGAAACCGGAGCUAAUACCGGAUAAUAUUUUGAACCGCAUGGUUCAAAAGUGAAAGACGGUCUUGCUGUCACUUAUAGAUGGAUCCGCGCUGCAUUAGCUAGUUGGUAAGGUAACGGCUUACCAAGGCAACGAUGCAUAGCCGACCUGAGAGGGUGAUCGGCCGCACUAGAACUUCGACACCGUCCAUACUCCUACGGGAGGCGACAGAAGGGAAUCUUCCGCAAUGGGCGAGAGCCUGGCGGAGCAACGCCGCGUGAGUGAUAAAGGUCUUCGGAUCGUGAAACUCUGUUAUUAGGGGAGAACAUAUGUGUAAGUAACUGUGCACAUCUUGACGGUACCUAAUAAGAAAGCCACGGCUAACUACGUG
rnacentral:rRNA from 1 species